rnacentral:rRNA from 1 species
GCGUGAAUCUGCCGGGACCAUCCGGUAAGGCUAAAUACUCCCGAGAGACCGAUAGUGAACCAGUACUGUGAAGGAAAGGUGAAAAGCACUUCGAACAGAAGAGUGAAAUAGUCCCUGAAACCAUGCGCCUACAAGCGGUCGGAGCAGCUUUAUGCUGUGACGGCGUGCCUUUUGCAUAAUGAACCUACGAGUUACUUUUUCCGGCAAGGUUAAGCAUCUUGAGAUGUGCAGCCGAAGCGAAAGCGAGUCUGAACAGGGCGUCGAGUCGGAAGGAGUAGACGCGAAACCAAGUGAUCUACCCUUGGUCAGGUUGAAGGUUAGGUAACACUAACUGGAGGACCGAACCGAUAAGCGUUGAAAAGCUUCCGGAUGACCUGAGGGUGGGGGUGAAAGGCUAAUCAAACUUGGAGAUAGCUCGUACUCCCCGAAAUGCAUUUAGGUGCAGCCUUUGGUGUUUCUUGUAUGAGGUAGAGCGACUGAUUGGAUGCGAGGCUUUCACCGGCUAUCAAGUCCAGACAAACUCCGAAUGCGUACAAGUGAAAGCCAAGGAGUGAGGGCAUGGGUGCUAAGGUCCAUGUCCUAAAGGAGAACAAUCCGGACCAACAGCUAAGGUCCCGAAAUGAAUACUAAGUUGAACUAACGAAGUCAGAUUGCUAAGACAGCUAGGAUGUUGGCUUGGAAGCAGCCAUUCAUUUAAAGAGUGCGUAACAGCUCACUAGUCGAGGAGUUUGGCGUGGAUAAUAAUCGGGCAUAAGUAUUCUACCGAAGCUUUGGGAUGAGAAAUCAUCGGUAGGGGAGCAUUCCACUCGGCGUCGAAGGUGAGGCGCGAGCCUUGCUGGAGCGUGUGGAAAAGCAAAUGUAGGUAUAAGUAACGAUAAGGCAGGCGAGAAACCUGCCCGCCGAAAGACUAAGGUUUCCUGAUCAACGCUAAUCGGAUCAGGGUAAGUCGGGUCCUAAGGCUCAGCCGAACGGCGAGGCCGAUGGCAGAACCGGUUAAUAUUCCGGUACUACCUGUGGGAGUGACGUGGAGACGGAGUCGUGACAGCGCCGCGGACUGACGGAAUAGUCCGUUGAAGGGUGUAGAUGCUGAUUGUUCCAGGCAAAUCCGGAGCAAGAGUCGAACCUGAUAGUAUGGAGCGUUCUUAGAACAAUCCAAUAGUGCGUGUAAUCAUACUUCCAAGAAAAUCCGCUAAACUUAAUCCUGCAGGUACCCGUACCGCAAACGGACACACGUAGUCGGGUUGAAUAUACUAAGGCGCUUGAGUGAUUCACGGUUAAGGAACUAGGCAAAUUGACCCUGUAACUUCGGGAUAAAGGGUCCCUACUGAGAGGUAGGGCGCAGAGAAUAGGUCCAGGCAACUGUUUAACAAAAACACAUGGCUGUGCGAAAUAGAAAUAUGAAGUAUACAGCCUGACACCUGCCCGGUGCUGGAAGGUUAAGAGGAGAGCUCAUCGCAAGAGAAGGCUUGAAUUGAAGCCCCAGUAAACGGCGGCCGUAACUAUAACGGUCCUAAGGUAGCGAAAUUCCUUGUCGGGUAAGUUCCGACCUGCACGAAUGGUGUAAUGAUCUGGACACUGUCUCAACCGUGAGCUCGGUGAAAUUGUAGUAUCGGUGAAGAUGCCGAUUACCCGCGAUGGGACGAAAAGACCCCGUGAACCUUUACUAUAGCUUAACAUUGAAUUUGGGUAAUUGAUGUGUAGGAUAGGCCGGAGGCUUUGAAGCGGGCACGCCAGUGUCCGUGGAGCCGCUGUUGAAAUACGGCCCUUUGAUUAUUUGAGUUCUAACCCGUUGUUGCGGGGACACUGUUUGGUGGGUAGUUUGACUGGGGUGGUCGCCUCCAAAAGUGUAACGGAGGCUUCUAAAGGUGCCCUCACGACGAUUGGUAACCGUCGGCAGAGUGUAAUGGCAUAAGGGCGCUUGACUGGGAGACUAACAAGUCGAUCAGGUAGGAAACUAGAGCAUAGUGAUCCGGUGUUUCCGUAUGGAAGGGACAUCGCUCAAAGGAUAAAAGGUACUCCGGGGAUAACAGGCUGAUCCCUCCCAAGAGCUCAUAUCGACGGAGGGGUUUGGCACCUCGAUGUCGGCUCGUCACAUCCUGGGGCUGGAGAAGGUCCCAAGGGUUCGGCUGUUCGCCGAUUAAAGUGGCACGCGAGCUGGGUUCAGAACGUCGUGAGACAGUUCGGUCUCUAUCUAUCGUGGGCGCAUGAAAUUUGCGUGGCUCUGACACUAGUACGAGAGGACCGUGUUGGACUGACCUC